AGGGGGAAAGUUACUCAAUGUAUAUAAGCAUGUUAUAUCUUUGCCACUAUAUCUCCUCAAAUCAAACUUGCUUUUUGAUGGCCCUACUGAUGAAGUAUCGACAGAAAGGGCAGUUACGGAGCAGACAGCU